GCAGCUGUGACCGAGUAGUGAAGGCGAUGGACUGGAAAUCCAUUGGGGUCUCUCCGCACAGGUUCGAAUCCUCCCGGCUGCG